GUGGGGAAUUUUGGACAAUGGGCGAAAGCCUGAUCCAGCCAUGCCGCGUGCAGGAUGAAGGCCUUCGGGUUGUAAACUGCUUUUGUACGGAACGAAAAGACUCCUUCUAAUAAAGGGGGUCCAUGACGGUACCGUAAGAAUAAGCACCGGCUAACUACGUGCCAGCAGCCGCGGUAAUACGUAGGGUGCGAGCGUUAAUCGGAAUUACUGGGCGUAAAGCGUGCGCAGGCGGUGAUGUAAGACAGUUGUGAAAUCCCCGGGCUCAACCUGGGAACUGCAUCUGUGACUGCAUUGCUGGAGUGCGGCAGAGGGGGAUGGAAUUCCGCGUGUAGCAGUGAAAUGCGUAGAUAUGCGGAGGAACACCGAUGGCGAAGGCAAUCCCCUGGGCCUGCACUGACGCUCAUGCACGAAAGCGUGGGGAGCAAACAGGAUUAGAAACCCGAGUAGUCC
rnacentral:rRNA from 1 species